GGGCCUAUAGCUCAGUUGGUUAGAGCGCUUCACUGAUAAUGAAGAGGUCGCAAGUUCGACUCUUGCUAGGCCCACCA
rnacentral:tRNA from 6 species